GAACCCCUUCGGGGGCGGGGCGAGUCUCCAUCCUGGCCGCGACUUACGCGACACUUUUUUGGAGAAAGAGAGCUUCCUGAAUUAAGGGCAGUGGGGUGAUAGGCCGAAUGGAAGGGGAGGGAGGCAUUUCAUCCUUCCCGGGACAUAGAGUUCGAAGAAGACCCGCCUCCUGUAGACCCGGAAUUCGGCCCCUCGAGAGCGGCUCGGACCGUGCCGGCAGCCGCCCGGUGCGAGGACGCAGGUGGGCGCUGCGGAGUUUAGGUGUAUUCGUUUCCUGAGGCUGCUGUGACAAAGUACCACGAACUGAGUGGCUUCAGACAACAGACGUUUGUUUUCUCACAGUUCUGGAGGGCCAGUCCCCACAACCCCACCCCGGGCAGAGAAGAUCAGCAGAUCUUUGCUUUUCUGCAGCCUUGCCUGGCCCUCCCUCCUGAUUUAGCUGACCGGCCAGGCGCAGGCUGGAGCUGCCCACACCGGCCUGCCUACCAGCCCGAAGCAAGACGCAUUCAGGUGAAAAGGGCGAGGAUGGCCCUACCGCAGUAAAAACCAACAAACCCAGUUCCCUGGCUGUGUGUGGCUCUGUGCUUUAUUUGUUUGCAGAUCAGAAGAGUGAGGAAGGUUGCAGGAAGGCUGAGCAGAGGGGCCAUGGAAUCCAGGAUGUCAGGACAGAGAUGCCACCUUGUUCUAUGCUACCCCACCCCUCCCACCCCACCCCUCCCCUCCCAUCUGACCUGGGGGGGGGCGGGACAGAGGAGCCCCACCCAGUGAGGACAGGUUCACCGCCUCUCUGACCCUCUGCUAAGAGCAUUCAGCUGACCCUCUGUCCCUCACGGUGGCCCUGGCAAAGGGGAGAGAGCCAGGGGCUGUGGGGGCCAUGGCGGGGGCCGUGAGGGGAUGAAGGGGCUGUCAGAGAGCAGGGCAUCCAUCCAGUAUCAGCUUUGGGGCUUCAUCAAUAUCUUGCCAGGGUGCAACACAUACAGUUCUGCAAGAUUCAGAAUAGCCUCAAAUCGCCACAUUUUCAGAAAACGGAUGAAAAGCUGAUCAAACACACAUUUGAUGCCAGGAUGAAGGGGAGCUGGGUCCUGCACGAUCGAGUUGGAGGCAAAGUGCGGGCUGGAGUUCUCUACAGCUGGAGGAGGAGCCGUCAGUCAUCCAUCAGGCGGCUGGUGCUGGACUGGCCCUGGGUUAUGUGGCUCCCAGUUACCUCCACGUGGAGACCAGUUCUUGGGCUGUUGAGGGUCCAGAUGGCUUCCAGGAAUUCUCCCACCGAUGAAUGAAGAAGAGGGCAUCCGAUGAACACAAUGGAAUAAGAUUUAAAUUUCCUGGUGAUUUGACAUGAAAUAUUGACAUCAAUGAACAUAACACAUAACUCAAAAUAGGUCCCUGCAGAGCAUAUCACGGCCACACUGGGUAUUGAGGGUCAUCCAUCCAAGGAGAAGGAUAGUCCCUGCGUGAGGAAACUGGACAUGCCCUGAAUUCUUCCUGCUCAUCUAUGAAGGAAACUUGGUCGAAGUUUAUAUUCUCUCGAUAGAAUAUGACAUUCCAGAAUCCUUGUCCAACGAAGAGGGGGAUCAUGUCCCUCCUGGGGGGCUGUGACAUCACGUGUGUAAAGUGCCUGCAGGCCUCCUGCGUCCGUAACAGAUGCCAGUUCUUAGCCCCUUCCCUCUGUCUUUUCCUGGUGCGUGUCUCACAAAGAUGGUUUCAGUUCCUCCCAUGGGCCCCGCUAAGUGGGUGAGUAUUAUCUUUGCCUUUGCUCUGAACUUCCGCAUAGAGAGUGGAUCCCAAGAGCCUGAGAAAGCCUUUUUCUAAAUCAAAAUGACCUGUGAACAAUCUCAGCCAAUGAUGCGAGGGGUUGGGAUCAGAGUGUCGAG